rnacentral:rRNA from 1 species
UACGGAGGGUGCGAGCGUUGUCCGGAAUUAUUGGGCGUAAAGAGCUCGUAGGCGGUUUGUUGCGUCGGCUGUGAAAUCCCGAGGCUCAACCUCGGGUCUGCAGUCGAUACGAGCAAACUAGAGUGUUGCAGGGAAGACUGGAAUUCCUGGUGUAGCGGUGAAAUGCGCAGAUAUCAGGAGGAACACCGGUGGCGAAGGCGGGUCUCUGGGCAACAACUGACGCUGAGGAGCGAAAGCGUGGGGAGCGAACAGG